rnacentral:rRNA from 1 species
GAUCCUGGCUCAGGACGAACGCUGGCGGCGUGCUUAACACAUGCAAGUCGAACGAGAGGACAAGAGAAGCUUGCUUCUUUUGGAAUCGAGUGGCAAACGGGUGAGUAACACGUAAACAACCUGCCUUCAGGAUGGGGACAACAGACGGAAACGACUGCUAAUACCGAAUACGCUUGGGAGACCGCAUGAUCUUCCAAGGAAAGGGUGGCCUCUACCUGUAAGCUAUCGCCUGAAGAGGGGUUUGUGU